rnacentral:misc_RNA from 1 species
ACAAACUUGGUCAUUUAGAGGAAGUAAAAGUCGUAACAAGGUAUCCGUAGGUGAACCUGCGGAUGGAUCAUUCAUAUGUGAAAUGGCCCAUGUGGUCAUUUUUGUUAUGUGCAAUGUACUAUUGUGAGUGUGUGUCGCUCUCUUUUGGAGAGUGGCAUGCAUCUUUUUUACCCAUUAUCAUUCCUAUUCUAUCUUAUUCAACAAAAAGAACCUUGAAAACUGCCAGCAAUGGAUCCCUCGGUUCUCGCAUCGAUGAAGAACGCAGC